GUACGGUCUGAACUACAUAUGAAAAGUGUUGGUGUCUGGCUGUCACCUCUCAAUAAAAGCCUCUAUCAGUGGAUUAUUGUGCUAAAUGAUAGAGAACAAUUACGCAGGUGAUACAAGCUCGUACUCUCUAGCAGUGAAACAGAAUGAGCUUAAUGGGGUCCAACCAAGUAGAUUUACCGUGCGACCGCGACUUAAGCAUAUGGCGCGUAUGCUCAAUAUAUAUUCAUAUUUAAGUAUAGCACAAUCAAGAUUAAACACUUUAAAUAAAAUUAAUAAGUCGGACCGGUGUUUUGCACGCCAAACCGGGCGCCGGAAGCUGUUACGCUCGGUUUGAGCGUGGACCAAUGUUUUCCCGAACUGAGCGUGGAUCGGUGGUAGCUUCGGACGCUCUCGUUUUGUUUGUCUUUUCUGUCCAGAUUUUUCGAACAAAAUGAUCAGUAUCCCGAUCUUCAUCCGAUGAGCUCAUUUAUGUCGUAUAUCACUUCAGUAAAAAUGACAGAUUAGCUUCUAUUGUUAAUGAGAGAAUUUUUUUCUAGAAAUAGAGGGGAUUAGGUUUUUUUAACUAUAAAUAACAAUUUUUUAACCGUAAAGUAAGUCCCAAAAUUAAUUUAAUCUUUUUUCUUGAUUAAUUGUUUAAUUUAAUUGUGUGGGCUUAACUUCGAAAUAUAAAAACUGCAAUAAAAAUAAAUUAUAAACAAGGACAAAUAACACAGAUCAAACCAAAACAAUUCACCGAGUGGACGCUCAUAGCUUCGCCAUUGUACUAUGGGAGCUCAUGCAUAACAAGUUAAGGCAUGUCGAAUCUUCAGGCAAUAUAAAAAUUGGAAGGAGGAUCCGAAUGCUCGGCCUAACGUCGCUCAGAUUAUACAAAUGCUGAAGCAGUAGUAUCUUUCUACUAUCUCUCCCUCCGGCGGUUCCUCGCCGGAUUUUCAAUUCCGGUGACCGGAAUUCUGUGUUUCCGCCGGUGAUACACCUAAAACGACCAUGGAAAACCAGAUUUUUCUUUUGCUGCUACUGAUAAAUCUUUAGACAACAAUGUUCAAUUUUCCGAUUUUUGCGGUUGUAAAUAUUACGGAGUUUCGAUUACUAAUGAUGUAUUAUAGUUGUAAUCGGGUCCAUUAUUAUGUUGGACGUUUAGCUGAAUUAUUGCAAAAGAAAAACAGAAGUUGAGAAU